rnacentral:tRNA from 1 species
UGGGCAGAACGCAAAUGGCCAGCGGAACGACUGAUAAUCGUUUGUUAGAAGGUUCGAUUCCUUCCUGCCCAA